UUACUUACCUGGCAGGGGAGAUACCAUGAUCACGAAGGUGGUUUUCCCAGGGCAAGGCUUAUCCAUUGCACUCCGGAUGUGCUGACCCCUGCGAUUUCCCCAAAUGUGGGAAACUCAACUGCAUAAUUUGUGGUAGUCGGUGUUCCGG
rnacentral:snRNA from 1 species